ACGGGUGAGUAAUGUCUGGGAAACUGCCUGAUGGAGGGGGAUAACUACUGGAAACGGUAGCUAAUACCGCAUAACGUCUACGGACCAAAGUGGGGGACCUUCGGGCCUCACGCCAUCAGAUGUGCCCAGAUGGGAUUAGCUAGUAGGUGGGGUAAUGGCUCACCUAGGCGACGAUCCCUAGCUGGUCUGAGAGGAUGACCAGCCACACUGGAACUGAGACACGGUCCAGACUCCUACGGGAGGCAGCAGUGGGGAAUAUUGCACAAUGGGCGCAAGCCUGAUGCAGCCAUGCCGCGUGUGUGAAGAAGGCCUUAGGGUUGUAAAGCACUUUCAGCGAGGAGGAAGGGUUCAGUGUUAAUAGCACUGUGCAUUGACGUUACUCGCAGAAGAAGCACCGGCUAACUCCGUGCCAGCAGCCGCGGUAAUACGGAGGGUGCAAGCGUUAAUCGGAAUUACUGGGCGUAAAGCGCACGCAGGCGGUUUGUUAAGUCAGAUGUGAAAUCCCCGCGCUUAACGUGGGAACUGCAUUUGAAACUGGCAAGCUAGAGUCUUGUAGAGGGGGGUAGAAUUCCAGGUGU
rnacentral:rRNA from 1 species